GACAGAGGCCCCAAGCGUUAGGCGGAAUCACUGGGCUUAAAGCGUGUGUAGGCGGAUCGUUAAGUGUCUUGUGAAAUCCCACGGCUCACCCGUGGAACUGCUGGGCAUACUGGCGAUCUUGGGCCAACUAGGGGCAGCCGGAACAAGCGGUGGAGCGGUGAAAUGCGUAGAUAUCAGGAAGAACACCCGUGGCGAAGGCGGCUCUCUGGGACGGUACUGACGCUGAGACGCGAAAGCGUGGGGAGCGAACAGG
rnacentral:rRNA from 1 species